ensembl:snoRNA Small nucleolar RNA SNORA81
AAAAAAAAAUAAAUGCGCCGUGCCAAAAUCAGCAGGUCAGAGCUUUUCCAGUUCAGUCAUGCUGGUCAUGCUGGUACGGUACGUCUUGAAAGAAGGGAGAGUGAAAGCCGCAGCGUCGGAAACGAGACCAGGAGGGACCUCUUUCUUAAUGUCCCAUGUCCUGCUUCUCAAGAUUCUGUGCUACACUU